rnacentral:misc_RNA from 1 species
UUUUCAUAAUGAACAAGAGUAUCCUUCAUUGAAGCCUUGUAGUCUCAGUCAACUAGAAGUUUCAGUUGGCAACACUGUCCCUAUGCUUGGAUGUCAUUAUAGACAACCAGAGCUUUGCCUCGUCAAAGUUCACAGAUCAAACGACGGUGGUCCAAAUCUAGGAUUAAAAUAUGACCGGCCUGCUCCUGAAAGGGGACAGACUGUGCGUUCCGUAGGUGAACCUGCGGAAGGAUCAUUACUGAGAACUUGCCCUUAGGGGUAGAUCUCCCACCCUAUGUUUACAUACUUUGUUGCUUUGGCAGGCCUGCCUUUUGGCUGCUGGCUUCGGCUAGUUAGUGUCUGCCAGAGAACCAACACUAUGAUUAAUUUAAUGUCAGAGUACUAUGCAAUAGUUAAAACUUUCAACAACGGAUCUCUUGGUUCUG